GCGGGAAUAGCUCAGUUGGUAGAGCACAACNNUGGUAGAGCACAACCUUGCCAAGGUUGGGGUCGCGAGUUCGAGUCUCGUUUCCCGCUCCA
rnacentral:tRNA from 1 species